CUUCGCGGCAGGGGCAGGAGGUGUAGUGCGCCUGCGCCUUUCGGAACCUCUUCAGGGGACCACGUCUCGCGGUAGCUGAUUCCCAGGCUCCACCCCUUGCACGCCUCUAGCCUUUGUUGGCAAACAGUUCUGGCGACUUGGGCUCGGUGGUGUCAGUUUCGGCGAGGUUGUCGCAGCGCGGCCCGGGGGAGCUGCUGCAGUCCGUGUAAGCAGCUGUUCCAGUUAAAGUAGCGAGGUGUUAGCACUCCUACCUCCCCAGUCUUCAGUGCCCCCACCAGCUUACAGACGGGCUCACAGCCCAGGAAGGGAGCGAUCAGGAGCCCAGCUUCCAGCCCUGUUCAGGAUGUAGGGCAUCAUCUAGGACCUGCUCAACUUUGUUGGUACCAUUACAAUGAUCAUCGUCACAGGAGAGGGGAUGGUGGUGUCUGAAUAGUGAAUACCAGAUUUCAACCAAGGAUCAAAAGCAACAGUGGUGUCUUUGCACGAGAUGCCGCUGAACUCCGACGCUCCCCCCAAUCUGAUUCACAGUUUAUAAUCACAGUUAUCACAGAGCCAUUAAAAGCCUAUUAACUUGAAUUCCCACAAUUCCUUGAGGGCAAGGGCAAAGAAAGAGCAAAAUAACUUUGAAUGUAAAUGUAACACAAUGUUCGAAAGAGGAGGCUCUCUUUUAAUUAUGCCAGCGAAGGAAGCUGUCUUAUGGACGCACCCACCCUCGCAUAUGGCUGAUGAAAGAAUACACCAUGAAGUCUUAGGACGCUCGUGACGUUAUGAAAAUGAUUUCUCUGUGAAGAGACUGGGACAGCAUCUGCCUGUUCAGACCCCUCUCUGAGAGGAGGAAGAGUGGAUGGCUUGUUAAAAUGUGUUGACUGCUGGGUAGGCUGGCUGGACGAACACUGUGCAGGGGCUGAUCGAAUGAGCCUGAAAGAAUACGCAGCCUCAUUUGGUGGAAGCAAAAACCUAACAAAUAUUCAAGCCAUUGUCAUACGAGAAAUUUGAUUUCGUGUUUUUCCACCCUUCGGUGCCUUCGCUGACAUGUCCCCUAACAAUGUUAUUACGUGCUGUACAGUGAGACAGUGCAGUCAAUAAGCUGUCUUAAGACCUCGGAUAAAGUGCAGAGUUCUUAUCUCACCACGGAACAAUUCCAGACGUCCUACUGCAGUGCGCUGUGUGCACGCCCAUGAUGGAGUCUGUCCCCAAACCUCUGUGGCCACCCCGGUGAGCUGUGUGCUGGCUCUCAGGCACCCCAGGCAGGCUGGGCUCGAACCUCACCUCCCCUUUGUGAAGGAAUGCUGGACUCACCAGAGGAGGGAAGGCGCUUUCUCUCCGGCGCUGACUCUGAAACAACCAAUUCCAAUCAAUCCACCCUCACCUAAAAUGAGUUCUUCCUGCAUGAAUUACCCACAUUCACUGCCCAGCUUGAUCUCGUUCCCGCAGUGGAUAAAGCAAAUGGCUCAGUCCAGAGGGAGUGGGUUAUUGACUAAGUGCUUAAUUAGGCGCACAACCCUGAUGUGGUCAUUCUCCUACCGGCAGGACGACUGGGCCGUGGCACGGCAGAACCAUGGAUCUGGUUUACUCCCACUUGCCUGAGCCGCAGUCGAAUCAA